CAAUAGCGUAUAUUAAAGUUGUUGCAGUUAAAAAGCUCGUAGUUGAAUUUCUGGCGGGCGCGCCGGUCUUCCAAGUGUUGUACUGGGCGCAGUCCGCCAUCCUUGUGGAGAGGGCUCGCAUUGAAUUGCGUGUCGGAUCUGCAUCAUUUACUGUGAAAAAAUUAGAGUGUUUAAAGCAGGCUGUCGCUUGAAUACAUUAGCAUGGAAUAAUAAGAUAGGACUUCGGUCUAUUUUGUUGGUUGCGAACCGAGGUAAUGAUUAAUAGGGAUAGUUGGGGGUAUUCAUAUUUAAUUGUCAGAGGUGAAAUUCUUGGAUUUAUGAAAGAUGAACAACUGCGAAAGCAUUUACCAAGGAUGUUUUCAUUAA
rnacentral:rRNA from 1 species